AUGAUUCUUUCUUUUGUCCAAACACUCCAAACACACGUUAAAACUGAAAGAACAUAUAUGUACAGACAGUCAGUCCAAAAGAGGGGGGGGACAGUGGGGAUAGGGCAGAGAUCGAACCACUUCACAACUUUGACCGGAACACGUUUCUCAGUAGUUUUAUACAUGGUUGGACACAUUAAAUACACAGAAGCUUAAAAAGAACAUGCUGGCCAGUGCUGGAAUGACUUGAGGACUACAGUCAGAUUCCCUCCUGGAUCUGUGGGCGGAGAUGUUGGUCGAAUUAACCUACAUUUCCCGUUUGCCAUUCCUAUGCCCUCAAUAUCUCUUGCUGCAGAAAGACGUUCUUGCCAUGGAAAGAUACAAAUUGGACUUCAGAGGCUCACCAAAGUAACAUAAGCGCCUUUGAGUCACGGUGGGACUGAAAUAUCACGUCUCAUGUGGUGAUCGAGAUUGUACAGAACUCAAAAGUGGUUACCGGUAUGCACGUAGAAAACAGUGACAUGGGUUAGUCCUGAAGUUAAAUCAUGUUAAAAUAGAGGCCAUUUUUUGUUGUUGUUUCUCGCUCCAAUGUGUUCCAAGCUGUAAGUGAGUGCCAAACUCCCAAUGUUAUGUGGUUGUUCAUGGAAAAAGUCAACAACGCAAACUCCCAUUCUGUAAGGACAGCCCACUUUCAAAGGCCACUGUUUCACACUCAGAACCAAAGAGCCGUUUGCAUGGAUAUGUGAAAUGACUGAACCUUUCACUGAAGGUUUCAGCUUCCUAUUUAUUGCAAGUAUUGCCCUUAUGAUGAUAUGGCGGGCCUUAGCACAAAGCAUCAGCUAACUACUACUUAGCACUUGAAAGGGACAUGAUUUGGUUGGCCGCUGAGCUGAAAGUGGAACAUAACUUUAAUGUAGUUACUAUAGUUUCAAGUUUGGACAACAACAGAGACAGUUCAAUGACAGUCAGUCAGGGAUGACCAUCAUAGGACCGCUCGACUUAGAAAAUAACGUUCCUCGCUGAUGACAAUGACGGGGGAAUGACCAUGUAACUGUGAAGGGUGAGUGGGUGUGUAUUGAUUUUGUAGCAGCCAAUAGGUAAGAUGAAUUAGGUCUAACUCUGAAAUAUCCUAUCCAAUGUCCUGUGAGAUUUGCAUUAAUAGACUAUUCUGUGUCAGAAGGUUAAUCUAACGUGAUUCUCUGUGUCGGGGCACCCGUGAAGUAAAAUCAUCUGCCUUUGGUUUUACACUGAACAGAGUCACUUUUGGCAUUUGGAAAUGUUGAAUUUAGCUACAUUUCCGUAGCACUCUUAAAAUCCAAGUUCAGAAAACUGAAAGCUGGCUCCUCCCUUUGAAUAUACAAUAUUAAGGACAUAUUCAACACAAAAUUAGUAUUUUAAGAAAACAUUUGACAACAUAUUGUUUUUUCCUUACAAUUAUUACAUACACAGUCAAAGUAUCAAUUACAAGAAAACACAGUUUCAUCUUGUAGUGGCCAACAUAGUCUGUUUGGGCACUUGAAAUGAAGAAAAGUACAACUUCUGACUUACAUUGAAGUCAUUUAGCUGACGCUCUUAUCCAGAGGGUAGUACAGGAGUAAUUAGGGUUAAGUGCCCUUGCUCAAGGACACAUAAACAGAUUGUUCACCCAGUCAGCUCAGGUAUUUGAACCGGCAACCUUUCAGUUACUGACCCAACGCUCUUAACCGCCAGGCUACAACUUAUAUCCUCUGACGUUCCUACAUAUAGGAAGCUAACGUCAAAGGAUAAUUGGGUUACUCUUUAAAUUGGCUAUAAUCAAAUCAAUAUACCAGCGAUAAGGUUGUUGCUUUUUUUUUCAAUAUCUAUUGAUCGUAGAGUAUAUUCUCCACUCUGAUUAGGUCCAUGUCCAGUCUAGAACACAGGGGGUAUAAGGCCUUGUCAUAUGAACUACACUGGGACACUAUUCCAUGAAGGUGACCCCAAACAGUCAGAACGCUUCAGUUCAUCUAGUCGGGGGCCAACACCAUCAACGCAUGCCAGGGAAUUGGGACUUCGAGGGCAAGAGGCUCACGAGUCAUGAUUUUGAUCCAGUCAUUCCCGCAGUUUGGAUCUUAAUCUGCGACAUUACAGCGCUGGCUUCAACAGAGUCACUGUGACAUCCGUGUCAUGUUGCCAUGCAUAUUUCCUUGGCAAGGUAGAGUUGUCUCCUUCAGAUAAAUGUAGCAGCAUUCAUAUCUGUUCUUAGCCUGAACUCAAAUGGCAUUGGUUUGUAGAUUGUGCAAUCAUAGAGCACAGUAUUCUCUCCUGACCUUGUCAUUCUGAACUGGUACUAGUUCAGCACCACCAAUGGGCUAUUAAGAGGGAAACGCCCAUCUUUAUGAAAUGGCACCCAAACAACUCAAGCGGAGGGUUAAAACCCUUAAAACUCAACAUGACCUACCGAUUGAUAGAUUAUCAAUACCUAACAUGUUUUAUGAAUCGAUUCUAUAGUUGCGUGUUUUUUAAGAUUAUAUCUUUGCUUAGAAAAAAAUACAAUUUCACAUAGAGGGGCACACAAACUCGUUCCAUUCAAAGUACCCAUUUGCUUAUAUGUUUUUAAAAUAAAGCAAACUGCAAAAUGCUAAAUAUAGCUAAAGGUCCAUUAUUGGAAAUAUGAGGCCAGACUAUUUGUCACAGGACACGUCACACACUACACGACCACAGUAGAACUAACCACUUCCAAAGCAAGACAUGAGACUCGACACCAGGGCUAGCCAGCAUUUCAAGUUUUGAGAUUCCGUUGUUCAAU
rnacentral:lncRNA from 1 species